AGAGUUUGAUCUUGCCUCAAGAUGAACCUGGAGGCAUGCUUAACACAUGCAAGUUCGACGGGAAACAUAGGAAAUGGUAUUUCUAGUGGCGGACGAGUGAGUAACGCAUAAGAACCUACCCUUUGGAGGUGAACAACAGCUAGAAAUGGCUUCUAAUACCCCGUAGGCUGAGGAGAAGAAGGAGAAAUCCACCUGAAGAGGGGCUCGCAUUUGAUUAUCUAGUUAGAGAGGCAAUAACUUACCAAGGCGAUGAUCAGUAGCUAGUUCAAGAGGAUUAUCAUCCACACUGGGAAUAAGACACGACCCAGACUCCUACGGGAAGCAGCAGUGGGGAAUUUUUUACAUUGGGAAAAACCCUGAUGGGGCAAUACCACAUGGAGGUAGAAGGCCCAUGGGUCGUGAACUUAUUUUCCUGAAGAAGAAGCAAUGAUGGUAUCUGGGGAAUAAGCAUCAGUUAACACUAUGCCAGCAACCGCGAUAAUAUAGAGGAUAUAAGCGUUAUCUGGAAUGAUUGGGCGUAAAGUAUUUGUAUGUGGCUUUUUAAGUACGCCGUCGAAUCCUAAGGCUCAAACCUAGACAGGCGGUGGAAAAUACUAAGCUGUUGUACAGUAGGGGCAGAGGGAAUUUCUGGUAGAGUGGUGAAAUGAGUAGAGAUCGGAAAGAACACCAACGGCGAAGGCACUCUGCUGGGCCGACACUGACACUAAGAGAUGAAAGAUAGGAGACCGAAUGGGAUUAGAUACCCUAGUAGUCCUAUCCGUAAAUGAUGGAUACUAGGCGCUGUGCAUAUCGACCCGUGUAGUGUUGUAGCAAAUGUGUUAAGUAUCCCACCUGGGGAGUACGUUCACAAGAAUAAAACUCAAAGGAAUAGACGAGGGCCCGCAAAAACGGUGGAGUAUGUGGUUUAUUUCGAUGCAAAGUGAAGAAACUUACCAGGGAUUUACAUGCCGUGAAUCCUCUUAAAAGAGAGGGGUGCCUUCGGCAAUGCAACACAGGUGGUGCAUGGCUGUCGUCAGUUCGUGUUGUAAGGUGUUGGGUUAAGUCCCACAACAAGUUCAACCAUCGUGGUUAGUUUCCAUUAUUGAGUUUGGAACCCUGAACAGACUGCCGAUGAUAAGCCAGAGGAAGGUGAGGAUGAUGUCAAGUCAUCAUACCCCUUAUGACCUAGGCAACACACGCGCUACAAUGGCUGGUAAAAAGGGUCGCAAUCCCGCGAGGGUGAGCUAACCCCAAAAACCCAUCCUCAGUUUGGAUUGCAGGUUGUAACUCGCCUGCAUGAAGUCGAAAUUACUUGAAAUCACCGGUCUGCCAUACAAUGGUGAAUUCAUUCUCGGGCCUUGUACACACCGCCCGUCACAUUAUGAGAUCUAGCCAUGCCUGACAUCAUUACCUUAACCACAAGUAGGGGGGUGCAGAAGGCAGGGCUAGUGACUAGAGUGAAGUCGUAACAAGGUAGCCGUACUGGAAGGAAAGGCUA
rnacentral:rRNA from 1 species